AAACCUAAAGGCGUAAUGAAAGUGAAGGUUUUCCUCGCGAAAACCUAGGGAGGACGGGUGGUGGUUGUUUUUUCGUUUACGGAAAAAUGAGACACCCUUAAAAGUGGCCGCCCCGCACUCCCGGGGCGUCUCGUUCUCAUCGCGAGAAGAGGCGCACCAAAAGCGUACACSCUGGGACCCGAAAGAUGGUGAACUAUGCCUGGUCAGGACGAARUCAGGGGAAACCCUGAUGGAGGUCCGUARCGAUUCUGACGUGCAAAUCGAUCGUCGGAACUGGGUAUAGGGGCSAAARACUAAUCSAACCAUCUARUARCUGGUUCCCUCCSAARUUUCCCUCARGAUARCUGGC
rnacentral:rRNA from 1 species